AGACAAGUGGGAGCAGUGGMAGUGCACCUCCAGACACUGCCUCGGGAGGAAGUGGACUCUGGCCAAGCCUCCUGCUGGAGAGCUCACCUACAGGAGAGGAGCGAUGCCUUGCUGCAGAAAGAAUACUGUAGUGAGAAAUUGGAAAACUUUUGAGGUCCUACUUAAGAACAUGAAUGCAGCAAGAACUAGCAGAACCGGGGGAGGCUUGAGUAAGAACCCGGUUCCUGCUCCAAGGACAACUCAGGCAUUUCUGAAGUGUCCUGAUGCAAGUUUUAUAAAUGGUUUCUGCUUCUUUGGCACACUGACCUUUGGAAAAAAG
rnacentral:lncRNA from 1 species